rnacentral:rRNA from 1 species
AGAGUUUGAUCAUGGCUCAGGACGAACGCUGGCGGCGUGCUCAACACACGCAAGUCGAACGAUGAAGUGGAGCUUGCUCCACGGAUUAGUGGCGAACGGGUGAGGAACACGUGAGAAACCUGCCUCGGAUUUUGGGAUAACAAAUGGAAACGUUUGCUAAUACCAAAUAACGUCGGAGAGCUUCAUGGCUUUCUGACGAAAGGAAUUCCGAUUCGAGAGGGUCUCGCGGCCUAUCAGCUUGUUGGCGGGGUAAUGGCCCACCAAGGCAACGACGGGUAGCUGGUCUGAGAGGAUGGUCAGCCACACUGGGACUGAGACACGGCCCAGACUCCUACGGGAGGCAGCAGUGGGGAAUCUUGCGCAAUGGGCGAAAGCCUGACGCAGCAACGCCGCGUGCGGGAAGAAGGCUUUCGGGCUGUAAACCGCUUUCAGCAGGAACGAAAAUGACGGUACCUGCAGAAGAAGGAGCGGCCAACUAUGUGCCAGCAGCCGCGGUGAUACAUAGGCUUCAAGCGUUGUCCGGAUUUAUUGGGCGUAAAGAGUUCGUAGGCGGUCGAGUAAGUCGGGUGUGAAAAUUCUGGGCUCAACCCAGAGACGCCACCCGAUACUGCUUAACUUGAGUUCGAUAGGGGAGUGGGGAAUUCCUA